GUUAUGCUCCCUCCGUCCCAAAAUAAGUGUCUCAACUUUGUCUAACUUUAGUACAAGGUUGUACUAAGGUUGAGACACUUAUUUUGGGACGGAGGGAGUAUAAA
rnacentral:pre_miRNA from 1 species